UUUUUAGUUGCUGCGUGCGGGAUCUUUUAGUUGCAGCAUGCAGGCUCUUAGUUGUGGCAUACUGGAUCUAGUUCCCUGACCAGGGAUUGAACCUGGGCCUUCUGCAUCGGGAGCUCAGAGUCUUAACUGCUGGACCACGAGGGAAGUCCCUAGUCUUUCUUAUUUGAGUAUAACUUGCAUAUAAAUAAAGUCCACAGAUCAGAAGAAUGGAGCUUGAAGAACUUAUAGAAAUGUAUACAUUCAUAUACUCACAACACAAUCAAAUAUAACUUAUUCUCAGCACCCUACAAGACCCUUGCCCUGCCUAUUCAGUACCUCUCCCAAAGAGGGACUUCCCUGGUGGCGCAGUUGUUAAGAAUCCACCUGCCAGUGCAGGGGACAUGGGUUCAAGCCCUGCUCUGGGAAGAUCCUACAUUUCACGGAGCAACUAAGCCUGUGCGCCACAGCUACUGAGCCUGCACUCUGGAGCUCGUGAGCCACAACUACUGAAGCCCACAUGCCUAGAGCUCGUGCUCCGCAACAAGAGAACCCGCCGUGAUGAGAAGCCUGCACACUGCAACAGAGAGUAGCCCCUGCUCGCCGCAACUAUAGAAAGCCUGUGUGCAGCAACAAAGACCCAACACAGCCAAAAAUAAAUAAAUUUAAAAAAAAACUGAUUAAGAUCUCAAGGACAAUGUUGAAUAGAAGACAUUCUGUCUUGUUCAUGACCAUUUUGACCGUGCUUGUCAGUGGGAAAGCA